ACGCGUGAGAAUCUACCCUUUCAGGAUGGGGACAACCGUUGGAAACGACGGCUAAUCCCCAAUAAGCCGCAAGGUGAAACGGGAUUCCGCCUGGAGAGGAGCUCGCGUCCGAUUAGUUAGUUGGUGAGGUAAGAGCUUACCGAGGCAGCGAUCGGUAGCUGGUCUGAGAGGAUGAGCAGCCACACUGGGACUGAGACACGGCCCAGACUCCUACGGGAGGCAGCAGUGGGGAAUUUUCCGCAAUGGGCGCAAGCCUGACGGAGCAACGCCGCGUGUGGGAAGAAGGCUCUUGGGCUGUCAACCACUUUUCUCAGGGAAGAAGCACUGACGGUACCUGAGGAAUCAGCCUCGGCUAACUCCGUGCCAGCAGCCGCGGUAAUACGGAGGAGGCAAGCGUUAUCCGGAAUUAUUGGGCGUAAAGCGUCCGCAGGGGGCACAUCAAGUCUGCUGUUAAAGGCUGGAGCUUAACUCCGGUAGAGCAGUGGAAACUGGUGUGCUAGAGGGCGACAGGGGUAGAGGGAAUUCCCAGUGUAGCGGUGAAAUGCGUAGAGAUUGGGAAGAACACCGGUGGCGAAAGCGCUCUACUGGGUCGCACCUGACCCUCAGGGACGAAAAAGCUAAGGUAGCGAAAGGGAUUAGAUACCCCUGUAGUC
rnacentral:rRNA from 1 species